rnacentral:rRNA from 1 species
GAUGAACGCUGGCGGCAGGCCUAAUACAUGCAAGUCGAGCGAGGUUUUCGGACCCAGCGGCGGACGGGUGAGUAACGCGUGGGAACGUGCCCUUUGCUACGGAAUAGCCCCGGGAAACUGGGAGUAAUACCGUAUGAGCCCUACGGGGGAAAGAUUUAUCGGCAAAGGAUCGGCCCGCGUUGGAUUAGGUAGUUGGUGGGGUAAUGGCCUACCAAGCCGACGAUCCAUAGCUGGUUUGAGAGGAUGAUCAGCCACACUGGGACUGAGACACGGCCCAGACUCCUACGGGAGGCAGCAGUGGGGAAUCUUAGACAAUGGGGGAAACCCUGAUCUAGCCAUGCCGCGUGAGCGAUGAAGGCCUUAGGGUUGUAAAGCUCUUUCAGCUGGGAAGAUAAUGACGGUACCAGCAGAAGAAGCCCCGGCUAACUCCGUGCCAGCCGCCGCCGUAA